rnacentral:rRNA from 1 species
GAGUUUGAUCGUGGCUCAGGAUGAACGCUGGCGGCGUGCCUAAUACAUGCAAGUCGAGCGAACGGACGAGAAGCUUUGCUUCUCUGAUGUUAGCGGCGGACGGGUGAGUAACACGUGGAUAACCUACCUAUAAGACUGGGAGUAACUUCGGGAAACCGGAGCUAAUACCGGAUAAUAUUUUGAACCGCAUGGUUCAAAAGUGAAAGACGGUCUUGCUGUCACUUAUAGAUGGAUCCGCGCUGCAUUAGCUAGUUGGUAAGGUAACGGCUUACCAAGGCAACGAUGCAUAGCCGACCUGAGAGGGUGAUCGGCCACACUGGAACUGAGACACGGUCCAGACUCCUACGGGAGGCAGCAGUAGGGGAUCUUCCGCAAUGGGCGAAAGCCUGACGGAGCAACGCCGCGUGAGUGAUGAAGGUCUUCGGAUCGUAAAACUCUGUUAUUAGGGUAAGAACAUAUGUGUAAGUAACUGUGCACAUCUUGACGGUACCUAAUC